GUGCCAAUUACUGGUUGACAAGGUUCGACCCAGAAUAAUUAACACACACACACACACACACACACACGGGUAGAUCACUUAAACAACAUUCAUUAGUGAGUGUAAAUGUUUGUGUGUGGAGGAAUGAGUCACGUGUGGAUGUGUGUGUGUAAAUUAAAGGUCAAAGGUCAGUAGUCGGGGGUCACUCAGGGUCACAGUGUGUGUGUGUGCUGCAGAAGUGAUGAGUCAGUCCAGUUUAGUUCAGAUGAGUUCAGUUUUAUUUCAUGUUGUGUAAUGUUUUGUACCAUGUGGUGCGUUCAGUGUCUCAGUGUUUCCCUGACUGAACCCCGAGCUGUGUGUGUAGAGGUGUGUGCUUAUACUUACAGGUAAACCCAGUCUCAGUGUGUGUGUGUGUGUGUGUGUGUAGAGGUGUGUGCUUAUACUUACAGGUAAACCCAGCCUCAGUGUGUGUGUGUGUGCUUAUACUUACAGGUAAACCCAGCCUCAGUGUGUG